rnacentral:miRNA from 1 species
GAGGUGGGAGGAUCGCUUGAGUCAGGGAGGCAGAGGCUGAAAUAAGCUGUGAUUGCACCCCAGCACUCCAGCCUGAGUGACAGAGCAAGACCCUGUCUC